rnacentral:rRNA from 1 species
UCCCUAUGGGGUGCAGCAGGCGCGAAAACUUUACAAUGCGGGAAACCGCGAUAAGGGGAUACUGAGUGUCAGCAUCUUAUGUUGGCUGUCCACCUGUAUAAACAGCAGGUGUUAGCAAGGGCCGGGCAAGACCGGUGCCAGCCGCCGCGGUAACACCGGCGACCCGAGUGGUGACCACUAUUAUUGGGUCUAAAGGGUCCGUAGCCGGUUUGAUCAGUCUUCCGGGAAAUCUGACAGCUCAACUGUUAGGCUUCCGGGGGAUACUGUCAGACUUGGGACCGGGAGAGGUAAGAGGUACUACAGGGGUAGGAGUGAAAUCUUGUAAUCCUUGUGGGACCACUAGUGGCGAAGGCGUCUUACCAGAACGGGUCCGACGGUGAGGGACGAAAGCUGGGGGCACGAACCGGAUUAGAUACCCGGGUAGUCCCAGCCGUAAACGAUGCUCGCUAGGUGUCAGGCAUGGCGCGACCGUGUCUGGUGCCGCAGGGAAGCCGUGAAGCGAGCCACCUGGGAAGUACGGCCGCAAGGCUGAAACUUAAAGGAAUUGGCGGGGGAGCACAACAACGGGUGGAGCCUGCGGUUUAAUUGGAUUCAACGCCGGAA